GACGGAGGAUGCAAGCGUUAUCCGGAAUGAUUGGGCGUAAAGCGUCCGCAGGUGGCAGUUCAAGUCUGCUGUCAAAGACCGGGGCUUAACUUCGGAAAGGCAGUGGAAACUGAACAGCUAGAGUAUGGUAGGGGCAGAGGGAAUUCCUGGUGUAGCGGUGAAAUGCGUAGAGAUCAGGAAGAACAUCGGUGGCGAAGGCGCUCUGCUGGACCAUAACUGACACUCUGGGACGAAAGCUAGGGGAGCGAAUGGG
rnacentral:rRNA from 1 species